rnacentral:lncRNA from 1 species
GAGAGACCCAACGGGACCUCAGCCCAGCCAGCCCAGGUGAAGCCUGAAUUUUAUAGGCAAGCUGAGCUGAAACCUUGCCCUUGGACAGGAUCCAAUCAAAGGAGAUGUAUCACUUUCUGUCCAACACCUGAUCAAGCAGAUCCCUGCAAGUUCCUGGCCUGCGGCGAAUUUGCCCAAUGUGUAAAGAACGAACGGACUGAGGAAGCGGAGUGUCGCUGCAAACCAGGAUAUGACAGCCAGGGGAGCCUGGACGGUCUGGAACCAGGCCUCUGUGGCCCUGGCACAAAGGAAUGCGAGGUCCUCCAGGGAAAGGGAGCUCCAUGCAGGUUGCCAGAUCACUCUGAAAAUCAAGCAUACAAAACUAGUGUUAAAAAGUUCCAAAAUCAACAAAAUAACAAGGUAAUCAGUAAAAGAAAUUCUGAAUUACUGACCGUAGAAUAUGAAGAAUUUAACCAUCAAGAUUGGGAAGGAAAUUAAAAACUGAAAAUGUACAAUUAUCAUUUAGGCUAUCUCAAGAGAGAUGAUUUGCCUUCUCAAGGAAAAUGGAGACAGGCAUAUUCAUGGGUCAUCAAAAUCCAGACAUACAGUCAACACUGAGAAUCAGCACACACCAUAUUUCAAAUAUAGAAGAGUCAUGUACUUGGCAACCAGUAAAUUCUGAAGAAAAAGACACUUACUUAUUAUUAAAACCCCAAAUGCAAUCAGCGAAACAUAUUUUUACUAUUCUUGGAUGAUAGUCAAAAUGAUCAUAAGCCAGGUUUGCUUCCACCUUCCCUGAAAAUUUUACUCACAGAUCAUUUGCAACAAGCAUAGCUUACUUAUUGUUUAGGGACUG